AUUGCCCCUAGAGGUAUGGCUGCCAUGUCACAUGUGCAUCAGUAAGUGGCAGAGAGGGGACAGGCUAUGUCUACACUCAGUGUUCUGACCUGUGAAUAAGCCUGACAUGAUCACCAGUCUGGUGCC